rnacentral:rRNA from 1 species
AACGAACGCUAGCGGCAUGCCUCAAACAUGCAAGUCGUACGCGAAAGUCCCUUCGGGGGCAAGUAGAGUGGCGCACGGGUGAGUAACACGUAACUAACGUACCCUCUCGCUGGGGAUAACCCCGGGAAACCGGGGCUAAUACCGAAUGAGCUGUCGAGGUCUGCGGACCUUGCCGGCAAAGCUGUAAGGCGCGAGAGGAUCGGGUUGCGGUCCAUUAGCUUGUUGGUGGGGUAACGGCUCACCAAGGCGACGAUGGAUAGCUGGUCUGAGAGGAUGAUCAGCCACACUGGAACUGAAACACGGUCCAGACUCCCACGGGAGGCAGCAGUUGGGAAUAUUGGACAAUGGGGGAAACCCUGAUCCAGCAAUGCCGCGUGAGUGAUGAAGGCCCUCGGGUCGUAAAGCUCUUUCAGCGGGGACGAAGGGUAACUUGACGGUACCCGCAGAAGAAGCACCGGCUAACUACGUG